AUUGAACGCUGGCGGCAUGCCUUACACAUGCAAGUCGAACGGCAGCACGGGAGCAAUCCUGGUGGCGAGUGGCGAACGGGUGAGUAAAGUAUCGGAACGUGCCCAGUCGUGGGGGAUAACGUAGCGAAAGUUACGCUAAUACCGCAUACGAUCUAUGGAUGAACGCGGGGGAUCGCAAGACCUCGCGCGAUUGGCGCGGCCGAUAUCAGAUUAGGUAGUUGGUGGGGUAAAGGCUCACCAAGCCGACGAUCUGUAGCUGGUCUGAGAGGACGACCAGCCACACUGGGACUGAGACACGGCCCAGACUCCUACGGGAGGCAGCAGUGGGGAAUUUUGGACAAUGGGCGAAAGCCUGAUCCAGCCAUGCCGCGUGCAGGAUGAAGGCCUUCGGGUUGUAAACUGCUUUUGUACGGAACGAAAAGGUUUGGCCUAAUAAGCUGAGCUCAUGACGGUACCGUAAGAAUAAGCACCGGCUAACUAUGUGCCAGCAGCCGCCGUAA
rnacentral:rRNA from 1 species